rnacentral:rRNA from 1 species
UAAUACGUAGGGUGCGAGCGUUGUCCGGAAUUAUUGGGCGUAAAGAGCUUGUAGGCGGUUUGUCGCGUCUGCUGUGAAAAUCCGGGGCUCAACUCCGGACUUGCAGUGGGUACGGGCAGACUAGAGUGUGGUAGGGGAGACUGGAAUUCCUGGUGUAGCGGUGAAAUGCGCAGAUAUCAGGAGGAACACCGAUGGCGAAGGCAGGUCUCUGGGCCAUAACUGACGCUGAGAAGCGAAAGCGUGGGGAGCGAACAGG